AAGCUACUCCCUCCGUCCCAAAAUUCUUGUCUUAGAUUUGUCUAAAUACGGAUGUAUCAAGUCACGUUUUAGUAUUAGAUACAUCCGUAUCUAGACAAAUCUAAGACAAGAAUUUUCGGACAGAGGGAGUACAUC
rnacentral:pre_miRNA from 1 species